AUGGAAAGCCAGUUUCGAUUGGAGAGGGGACGGUGCGGCGGUGCUCGAACGGGAGCGGUGCCGAAAAAAAAUGUUUUAGGUGGUCGACGCGAAAAAACGAGAACAAAUGGAACUCGGGUACGUUUCCUCUUAACUUCCUUGACUCAGUCUUUACUUUCUUCUUCUUCUUCGUCUGUCUACUUUUUCAUAUCCUGCAGGUGUUGUUGA